GACGAACGCUGGCGGCGGGCUUAACACAUGCAAGUCGAACGGAAAGGUCCGGGUCAUGGGCGGAGGUCGAGGGGCGAAGGGGGGAGGUACACGUGGGUAAGCUGUAACUCAGGGUGGGUAGACCUAAUGCAACUGGGGCUAAUACGGGAUAGGAGCUACUGCUGCAGGGUGGGCGUUGGAAAGAUUCGGUGGUUGGGGAUGGACUCGCGGCGUAUGAGCUUGUUGGUGGGGUAGUGGCUUACCAAGGCUUGGAAGGGUAGGCGGCCUGAGAGGAUGACCGGCCACAUUGGGACUGAGAUACGGCCCAGCCUCGUACGGGAGGCAGCGGUGGGGAAUAUUGCACAAUGGGCGGAAGCCUGAUGCAGCAACGCCGCGUGCGGGAUGACGGCCUUCGGGUUGUGAACCGAUUUCGCCUGUGACGAAGCGUGAGUGACGGUAAUGGGUAAAGAAGCCCCGGCUAACUACGUG
rnacentral:rRNA from 1 species